rnacentral:hammerhead_ribozyme from 1 species
AUUCGGCUGACGAAUCCUGAACAGGACGAAACGCGCGUCCUGGAU